rnacentral:ncRNA from 1 species
GGAGGUAGGUCCUCCGGAGCCGACUUUCAGGAGUAGGCUUCAAACCACCCUAAGCUGCGUUGAUUAAGAGUCAAGGUGGUGAGCGUUAGGGAAAAGGUUCCGCAAGACGGGAUCAGG